GGGGACGUAGCUCAGUGGUAGAGCGUCUCGUUUGCACUUUCGCAAACUACCAGUUUCAAGACAAAUCUCGAGAAGGUCUGGGGUUCAAUCCCCCACGUCUCCA